AUGCCAUAUUUUAGGAGAUAUGCAUUUCCUUAUUUAAAAAGAUUAAUUGUCUUAAUUAUUGUAUAUCUCUUCCUUUCAGAUUUAUAUUGCUAUUAGAUUUCGUAGAUUUCUCAAUCUGAUUAAACAUCCUUUUGUGGAGGUAUUCCUAUCAUGUAGUGAUUAAACAUCCUCUCAUCAAGAUGAUGGAGGGUGCAAUCAGAUCAAGCUUCACUUCAGUAAUUUCAGCCCUUAACUUGUCGGUCAUAACACGUCCAAACUUGAGAAGGUCGCACCUAAAUUCCAGGUGGGUGUACUCUUUAGCCUUCAAAAUUAACUUGUAGUAUCUAUUGAGAAACAAGAAGAUGAAACAAAAACCUGCAAUCAAGAACUUGUAUAGUCUAUCAUACCUACUCAAUAUCAAAAACCUGGAACCAUCACAAAACAAAUACCUCUUCGUCAGGAGCACACACACCUUUUGAAUAGAUAGCAAUCACAAUACUCAUCAACUGUACCAAUCGGAUAUGCUGUCGAACACAGGCAACCCACCAACCUCUGAUUGUGCAAUCCAUUUAUAUCACAAGGUUGUAGAGAUAUUGACACCAGCUUUGAAUGUGCAGAUUACACUUUUCUAUGUGAAGUUACGUAACCUCCAACCCAGAUGAGAAUUAUCAAUUGCUGAAAUCAAGGGUUGAGUAAUUCUGGGCGACGUCUAUGGGCAGCCGUUUCAUGAUCGACUUCCAUCAGCAACAUUACUGGAUUUUAUUAUCAAUCCUAUUUAAUAGGUGAAUGGGAAUUUGAAAGUGGCAGAUUCAGUAAUUCUUAACAACAUUGGGUUUUAUUAUUUAGUCUAUUUAAUAGGUUUUUUUAUUUUGCAUAAAUCUAAUUAAUUGGUUUGGGUGUAUAUUAAAACACUCUUAUGGAUG
rnacentral:lncRNA from 1 species